rnacentral:rRNA from 1 species
UACGUAGGGUGCGAGCGUUGUCCGGAAUUACUGGGCGUAAAGAGUUCGUAGGCGGUUUGUCGCGUCGUUCGUGAAAACUUGGGGCUUAACUCCAAGCGUGCGGGCGAUACGGGCAGACUUGAGUACUACAGGGGAGACUGGAAUUCCUGGUGUAGCGGUGAAAUGCGCAGAUAUCAGGAGGAACACCGGUGGCGAAGGCGGGGUCUCUGGGUAGUAACUGACGCUGAGGAACGAAAGCGUGGGUAGCGAACAGG